GUGUUCUGUAGUGCAAUGGAUAGCACAAGUUGGACUUCUAAUCCAAAGGUCGUGGGUUUGAAUGCCGCCUGAGAUU